UUGGCUCACUAUAAGCCUCCUGGCGGCUCCUUCCUGGGGCACUGGGCCAAACUCCUGACACGAUUAAGAAGAGGUUUUGGAACUGGGCCAGACUAGGAAAACAGGAAAGAUGACGAACAAAGCUUCCCUCCUUCUGAGGGUUGUUUAUUCCAGUGUUCCUUCAGUUGAGUUUUCUGGGUACACAGCAGCCCUUGGCUUUCCAUCCCAUGUGCAGCCUCUGGCCCAGCACUUAGUCCACUCUCAGUCAUAGAGCUUAUCACACAGACUUGCUCCAGUGCCCACUUGUCCAACUGCCCCAAACUCCUGGAAACCAGAAAGAACACAGAUGUAUCUCAACUGAGUGCCUACCAUAUUUCUACAGGAGGAACUGUCUUCGCAUAAAAGCCCCUCUGCAGCUCCUUAAGAUGAGCAAGCUGAACCUCAGAGGGCUUAGUGAUGUGGUUGAGGCACAGCCACCAAGGAUCAAUGACUGAG
rnacentral:lncRNA from 10 species